rnacentral:rRNA from 1 species
UACGUAGGGUGCGAGCGUUAAUCGGAAUUACUGGGCGUAAAGCGUGCGCAGGCGGUUAUAUAAGACAGUUGUGAAAUCCCCGGGCUCAACCCGGGAAUUGCAUCUGUGACUGUAUAGCUAGAGUGCGGCAGAGGGGGAUGGAAUUCCGCGUGUAGCAGUGAAAUGCGUAGAUAUGCGGAGGAACACCGAUGGCGAAGGCAAUCCCCUGGGCCUGCACUGACGCUCAUGCACGAAAGCGUGGGGAGCAAACAGG